UUACGGCUCAGUAACACGUGGACAACCUACCCUCAGGUCGGGGAUAAACCCGGGAAACUGGGUAUAAUACCCGAUAGAUUCUCGGCUGCUGGAAUGCAUCGAGCUCUAAAGCUCCGGCGCCUGAGGAUGGGUCUGCGGCCUAUCAGGUAGUAGUGGGUGUAGCGUACCCUACUAGCCUACGACGGGGUACGGGUUGUGAGAGCAAGAGCCCGGAGAUGGAUUCUGAGACACGAAUCCAGGCCCUACGGGGUGCAGCAGGCGCGAAAACUUUACAAUGCCGGCAACGGCGAUAAGGGGACCUCGAGUGCCAGGUUACAAAUCUGGCUGUCGUGAUGCCUAAAAAGCAUUGCAUAGCAAGGGCCGGGCAAGACCGGUGCCAGCCGCCGCGGUAACACCGGCGGCUCGAGUGGUAACCGUUAUUAUUGGGUCUAAAGGGUCUGUAGCCGGCCGGAUAAGUCUCUUGGGAAAUCCAGCAGCUUAACUGUUGGGCUUUCAGGAGAUACUAUCUGGCUCGAGGCCGGGAGAGGUGAGAGGUACUUCAGGGGUAGGGGUGAAAUCUUGUAAUCCUUGAAGGACCACCAGUGGCGAAGGCGUCUCACCAGAACGGACCUGACGGCAAGGGACGAAAGCUAGGGGCACGAACCGGAUUAGAUACCCGGGUAGUCCUAGCCGUAAACGAUACUCGCUAGGUGUCGGCCACGGUGCGACCGUUGUCGGUGCCGUAGGG
rnacentral:rRNA from 1 species